UGUUUGACCUCACCCAGAAGACUGAAAUAAUUAUUCAUGAUUAUGGUCAAUUAUUUCCUAUGCAUUAGUGUUAUUGGCAGAUAUUGCAAUACACUUGCAUAUCCCCAUCUUGACACAGCUGAUCUGUGUGUUUAAUACAGACCCAGGUCAUCAUGAGCACCACGAACAUCACGAUGAGGACGUCCAGCAUCUGUGGGACGAAUGGUCAGAACACGGCAUCAGUGCAGAAACCCAUCUCCUGUUGGAACAUGCAUUUUGUGGCUCAGCUGCUCCCCUCCAUGAAGAAACAACCCUCCUGCUGCUGGCAUUAGUCUGUCUCACCCUGCUGCUGAUGAGCUAUUUGUAGGCUACGUUAGCCUGGUGUCCACUGAAAACGUGACUACACAGAACAUUAGCUGUUAGUCCAUGUCGCUCAGUGUUUCAUACAAAGUAAAGUUAACAUCCUGUGGCCAGUGGGGAUAAGUGCAAACAAUACUUUGUCAUUUAAAAAUAAAAUGAAUAGUGAGUUUUGGUUGCAGAGAUUAGCUCCAGUCCUGGCUAUUCCUGUUCAGAGUGAUUAUUGAGUGGACAGGAUUGGAUGAGUUGACCUAUCUUCAGUCAGUGUGCUGGAUAAUCACCUCUGGGGAACUUACUGAACUGGAAAGAAGCCUGCUGAUGCUGGUGUAUCAUCACAGAGGAAGCUGAUUUAUGGCAGGUUUAACCUGGUGACUCAUCUUAUUACUUUUUAUUAAUACCAAUUUGUUUUUUCAGUUUCAUUUGUCAGUUUCUUGUUUAGGAGUUAUACCAGAAACCACAUGAUUACACUGAAUACUCAACUUUUGGCUUCUCAGUGUACCAAAAAUGUGAUUUCAACUACUACGUGAACUCCAAAUGUCAAGAUGUUACCAAAUAAUAAAUAAUCCUACUUUUACUA